rnacentral:misc_RNA from 1 species
CGUCUUUGUCCAUGAUCAUGUCCUUGUGGCUGCACAUUGGUCAUCCUAUCUUGAUCUGGGACCAACUCUGGAUUUCCAUGCUUGUAAAUUGCUUGCAGCGCUCUAAUGACGAACGGUCGAACUAUAUUCACUUCCAUGGCAGAUAAAUCUUUAAUCUUCACUGCAGAUGUGCGUGUAUCAAUGGACCCCAAGCUCGCUUCAACUUUGUGAAACCUAACAUCCCUGAUAUCUUCAAUAAGAG